rnacentral:rRNA from 1 species
AUUGAACGCUGGCGGCAUGCUUUACGCAUGCAAGUCGAACGGCAGCGGGGAGGAGCUUGCUUCUCUGCCGGCGAGUGGCGAACGGGUGAGUAAUACAUCGGAACGUGUCGAGAAGAGGGGGAUAACCACCCGAAAGGGUGGCUAAUACCGCAUAAAUUCUGAGGAAGAAAGCUGGGGACCUAGGAAUAGGCCUAGCGCUUUUUGAGCGGCCGAUGUCGGAUUAGCUAGUUGGUGAGGUAAAGGCUCACCAAGGCGAAGAUCUGUAGCGGGUCUGAGAGGAUGAUCCGCCACACUGGGACUGAGACACGGACCAGACUCCUACGGGAGGCAGCAGUGGGGAAUUUUGGACAAUGGGGGCAACCCUGAUCCAGCCAUGCCGCGUGUAUGAAGAAGGCCUUAGGGUUGUAAAGUACUUUUGUUAGGGAAGAAAAGUCAGCUGUGAAUAAUGGCUGAUACUGACGGUACCUAAAGAAUAAGCACCGGCUAACUACGUG